ACGAACGCUGGCGGCGUGCUUAACACAUGCAAGUCGAACGGAAAGGCCCUGCUUUUGUGGGGUGCUCGAGUGGCGAACGGGUGAGUAACACGUGAGUAACCUGCCCUUGACUUUGGGAUAACUUCAGGAAACUGGGGCUAAUACCGGAUAGGAGCUCCUGCUGCAUGGUGGGGGUUGGAAAGUUUCGGCGGUUGGGGAUGGACUCGCGGCUUAUCAGCUUGUUGGUGGGGUAGUGGCUUACCAAGGCUUUGACGGGUAGCCGGCCUGAGAGGGUGACCGGCCACAUUGGGACUGAGAUACGGCCCAGACGCCUACGGGAGGCAGCAGUGGGGAAUAUUGCACAAUGGGCGGAAGCCUGAGGCAGCAACGCCGCGUGCGGGAGGACGGCCUUCGGGUUGUAAACCGCUUUCGCCUGUGACGAAGCGUGAGUGACGGUAAUGGGUAAAGAAGCACCGGCUAACUACGU
rnacentral:rRNA from 1 species